rnacentral:rRNA from 1 species
UACAGAGGUCCCAAGCGUUGUUCGGAUUCACUGGGCGUAAAGGGUGCGUAGGCGGUCAGGUAAGUCUGAUGUGAAAUCUCUGGGCUUAACCCAGAAAUGGCAUUGGAUACUAUUUGGCUUGAGAGUUGGAGGGGGGACUGGAAUUCUUGGUGUAGCAGUGAAAUGCGUAGAUAUCAAGAGGAACACCAGUGGCGAAGGCAAGUCCCUGGACAACUUCUGACGCUGAGGCACGAAAGCUAGGGGAGCAAACAGG